AUUGAAUCCAUAACUGCAAGAGGCAUUAAGCAUUUGUGUGAUGAACUUCUGGAGCUAAAGGAAGCAGCUAAUGAAGAUUUACAGAGAAACAUAUAUGCCAAGUAUUCCACUUUCCUUAGAGUACUGGAGGAAGCUAGAGAAAUGGAAAAUGAGCUUGUGCAAAUGGAAAACCAUUUUGUAUCUCAUAGAAGACGAGUAAAGGAUCUUAUAGAUCGAAUAUAUCCAAAGAUAUUGUCCAUAGAUAUAACCUUCGAAGAUCAUGUAAAUGUUGUCCCAUCUCCCCCCAGAGAAUUGGAAGCUCUUGUCAAUGAAUGUUUAGAGAAUUUGGAUAUUCGCAUGUCAGAAAACAAGAUAGAUGAAGCCCUGCACUUUCUAGAAUCUGCAGAUGAGCAUUAUCAAAGCCUUCUGUUGCAAGAUUGUUCCCAUAGUGAGAUGAUGUUGUAUGAAUCCGCAAUUUCUGAGAAAAAGUCCAUGCUUAUACAACAGUUUGCACAAAUAGCUGAGAAUAAAAGAACAGCAGGACCGGAACUUCAGAGGGCACUAGAAAAACUUUGCAGACUUGGUGAUAGUCAACUUGCUAUUGAUCUAUUGCUCAAGCAUUACCAUUUGCGUAUUGUGACUGGAACAGAUAAUUUACAGUGGGCAAAGUUAUCUUCAAGUGAGUUAUAUAUAAGGGAACUUGCAAGGUUCGUGUUCUCAAUCAUUUCACAAGCAGCAAGGAGCUUUGUGAUGUUGUGUGGAGAGACUUCUUCAUGUACCUCAGAACUCAUGCUUUGGGCUUAUGAAGAAACAAAGUCAUUUAUCAUUUGUUUUGAUAGAU
rnacentral:sRNA from 1 species